GUUAACAACGAUUAGCUAAUGAGUGUCCAAUUCCAAAUUGCCCACGUGGAAAACCUCAGGUUACUGGCGCCCUUUCGUUCGCAGCCCGCCAAGACAGAGAUCCGAAUCGUCAAAGUAAAUCGAUCUAAAUUUAGAAAAAUUCAAAUUAUCACCUGUAUUUCGAUCCCUGAACAGAUGAAUAACAUUUACUGAAUGAAAAAAGAAAGAUUCGAGGUCAAAUAUACAUUGACGCAAAGAACAGAAAGGGGGCUGAAUUCUCUGCGUUCAGCUUAUGUUUGGUCGCCAGCAUGGACAUAGGAACAGAUUGGGUAUUUAAUUAUUGAAGUAGGAUUCCCAAUUGGAUAUAUGUAUGGUAAUCCAACUCUGUGCGCUAUUUAUUCAACCUUAUACUCACUUAAAUGAUCCUUUCCAUUUAGGCCGAUGAUCUUAUGUGUUCAUUGAGCGAAAAUCAUGAAAUUUGCGUCGGUGGGCUUGAGCAAUGCUUGUGCAAAAAUUCCUAACUUCUAAAUUAUUGUAAGGUAUUUUACACGUUCAGCUCUGAGGUGAUUACACUGGAGGGGCAAAAUGUCAUCUUUACCAAGAAGGUCCACUUUUUUGUAACUAUUACUUCGGAUUUUUGUUCGUUUAUAGAAGUUCCAUAAUCUUCGACAGUCCUCAACGACCAGCGUCAGAUUUCCAAGUCCAUCAAGUUAAUUGACCUACGCUUGUAAAUAGUCGAGCAAUGAUUUUGAGGAUAAGACUUUCUAUAUUUUGAGAUUGCAAUAAUCUCAUGGUGAAGAAAUAAUAUCAUAGUCUGCAGAAUGGUGAGUAAAUUUUUAAAUUUAUUCAAAAGUCUUUCAGACGACAUAAUAUAUUUAUCAGAUAUCAAACUUCUAUUCUAUACUACAAAUAAUUUAUAGUAUGGACGAUAUUACUUCACAAUUUUUUAAAAAUUGCACCUGGCUCGGUUUUGAUAAAAAAUUAUCUGUUGACUAUUCAUUCUCACAACGAGAAUUUGAACAGAGGGGAGUAUGGUGAACAGAUGAUCUGGUAAUACGAUCAUAAAAACAUCAUGAGAUUCUAUUCAUAUGAAGUAAAAUACGAGUUGAUACAACAUAAUCGUUCUAAUUUGUUAUUCACAAUACUAAAAAGUAAAUUAUUGCAAGUAUAAAUAUAUAACCACUUAUCAACUCAAUCCGAUCAUGUGCGUAUUUUGAAUAAGGUAAGGGAAUAAUAGCAAUAUGAAAGGCGAAACUGAGAGGGAAGGAUAAAAUGAAUAAGAAGUGUUCAAAUCAAGAGCAAAUUAAUUCUAUAGAAAUUCAAACCUAUACUUUCAUGACUUGAUAAUUCUUCAAUAAUAAUUAAAAAACAAAAACGUGAUCACUAUAAAAAUGUGCAACCUUAAUAUCACAUGGAGAAACAUUAUACAUUUAUACUAAGAUGUAAUAGAUAAAGCGUUCCAUGAAUAUGGCUUUGAUAUUAUCCGAGUAGAAUUCAAAUGAAAAUCACGUUUUUCGAUUCCUAGAUACCGCAUUUAUAAUGUAUCACAUGUAUAGGUAUAAUUGCAUGUUUAAUAUCAUACGUCGCUCUGAGAAGCUAGAUGCUAAAGCUUUUGUCUCAUCAAUCCGAGCUUGUCGAUAACUAUAGAUCUGAUGAUCAAACAUUGGCACAGGAAGUAGAAAUUAAAUCUGGUCCUCAAGUUCUAAUGUGAUGUUUUCUGGCUUUCUUAAUAGUCGACAAUUAUCGACAAUCACUUUUAGAUAAAUUUUAGCAAUAUGUUAAAAAAUUUGACAAGUAGCACUAACGAGAUGUACUAUGAUACAUAGGGCUAUUAUUGAUAGUUUUCAACUAGUAAUAUACUAAUAAACUCUUUUUAAUAAAAUUACUAUAGCCAAAAGUACGAUAGAUAAAGAUUAGGCGUUGCAUUUAAAGUAUAAUAUAUCUUCAGCCAAAAUCUGUAAUAAACCCUCAGACUUUGUCAUGUACCUAUCGUACUUUAGAUAGUUUUAUAACUUUUACGCUUCUACUCAUAACAGUUAUUUGUAUAAUAUAUUAUUACACAUCAGCUCCUAUCCACAAUCACACUGACAGCUAAUCAAAAUAAAUGGUCAGUUAUAACGAGAA